GAGGUUGGGGAUGUAGCUCAGUGGUAGCAUUCUUCCCUAGCAUAUGCCAGGCUCUGGGUUCAUUCCCCAUUGCAAAAGAAAAAAAGAAAAAUAAUAUUUUUGAUAUGUAAUUCACAAAAUUGGCCUUCUUUAACGUGACAACAGAAGUGACAUUGCUACAUUCACAGUGUUGUGAAAGUAACACUUCUUCUUCUACAACAUUUCUGGAGGAGUUGGGACCAUCAGCCCCACUCUCCUUUGACAUCUAGGAAGUGGCAGAGGAGCCACAAAUGGAGCUCAGUCAAAGGGUAAAUGUCAUUAACCACACAUACAUAGUGAAAUUUCCAUAAAAAUCCCUUUGAGCAUUCAAAGUUGGUGAACACAACACUACACCUUGAUAGGUGCUGGGAGGGCCAUGCAAGGGCAGAGAAACUGCACUGCCUCCCCCUCCCCCAGGUGCCUCACCCUAUGCACCUCUUUCUUGUGACUCAAAACGGUUUUAUCUGUAGUUAUAGAUUGGCAAGAGAAAAUAAACUCUUUCUGAGUUCUGCAAAUCAUUCUAGGAAAUGAUUGCAUCCAAGGAGCGAGCUAGUCAGUCAGAACUAAAAGAGGCCUGGGACCUCAAGUUUGGACUUGAUUAGGAGCAAUCAUGAAAAUGAGCCCUUAAUCUGUGGGAUCUGGUGCUUGGCAUCAGAAAUGAAAUGAAUCAUUAGACUGGACCUAAAUCUGGAACUCACUGUGGAGUCUGGCUCCCAAUCUUUAUCACUAGGCUGCUGCCAUGACCCACACAUCUUGCUCGUGACAUGCCCA
rnacentral:lncRNA from 1 species